GGAGGAGUGUCCGAGUGGCCGAUGGAGCAUGCUUGGAAAGCAUGUGUACGUGAUAAACGUACCGUGGGUUCGAAUCCCACCUCCUCCG
rnacentral:tRNA from 1 species